rnacentral:rRNA from 1 species
AGAAUGAACGCUGGCGGCAUGCCUAACACAUGCAAGUCGAACGAAGCCUUCGGGCUUAGUGGCGCACGGGUGCGUAACGCGUGGGAAUCUGCCCUUGGGUUCGGAAUAACAGCGAGAAAUUGCUGCUAAUACCGGAUGAUGACGUAAGUCCAAAGAUUUAUCGCCCAGGGAUGAGCCCGCGUAGGAUUAGCUAGUUGGUGAGGUAAAGGCUCACCAAGGCGACGAUCCUUAGCUGGUCUGAGAGGAUGAUCAGCCACACUGGGACUGAGACACGGCCCAGACUCCUACGGGAGGCAGCAGUGGGGAAUAUUGGACAAUGGGCGAAAGCCUGAUCCAGCAAUGCCGCGUGAGUGAUGAAGGCCUUAGGGUUGUAAAGCUCUUUUACCGGGAUGAUAAUGACAGUACCGGGAGAAUAAGCUCCGGCUAACUCCGUGCCAGCAGCCGC